AUUGUGCAGGCAGCAGUUGCGCCAGGUGUGUCUUAUGGGUGAGGUCUUCCGCUCAGCUUCAGAGACAAUUUGGAACGUGAACUGAGAGCCUCGUGUCCUCAUUGCUGCUAAAUAUAUCUGUGUUUUCCAGAAGACUGCCACCAUGUUUGGAAAAUCCUGAGUCUGGAUCGAUGCACUCUUACCCCAGAGCCUAGAUUGGAUGGCCAGUAAUUGAUUCAUCUGAGAGCUCAAGGAGGGCCCCGUGCUGCAGACCCCUAGUUCUCCUCAUGAAUCCACAGACACCUAGAUCCCCCACAGACUGAUCUUGAUAAUGGAUCUGAAGCUCUCUAACACCUGACCCUGAGUGUAAGUCUGUGUGAAUGUGCAAAUGGUCAUUUGUCUGGCCUGGCCUGCACUGUCAACUCAUCCACUCUCAGGAGGGGGAGUGCAAGCCAUUUGCUCAAACAGACACUAUACAGAUGAAGCCAUUGUUAAAAACCCACAGUUAACUGUGCUGCAGCAGCACUGCUGUAUCUGCAGUAGCUGGUCAGAGAAUUUGUUCUCUUUUCAGCCAGGGUAGUUUAAUAGUUGCACAUUUUCUUAUAAUAACGCUCUCUACUUUUGGUAAGUGGGACAAAACAGAAACAGGGAGGGAAAAAACCUCCCCAGCUGCAGAAAUCUGAACUGUUCACGUGUGAGACAUACACAUUUAAACACAGAGAUCAUGUAGAGCCAUGAUGAUUCUGAUGGGCAUUUUCAUCAUCAGACUGGUUUUCUAAUCCAAACUCAGCUGUAGUGUACUGCACUUGUUGUCACGUAGGCCUAAACUAUCUAAUGUCAAACACUUGACUUUAACUGUACAUUUUGCUAGUGUAUAUUAAAGUGUUAGAGCUACAGUCAGGGUGGCAGUAGUGCAGUGGUUAGUGCUCUGUGUUCGAGCCUUGGCUCUGCAUGGAGUUUGCAUGCUGUGCCUGUGUGGGGUCCCUGCAGCU